UUCCCUGUGGCUCAGUUGGUAGAGCAUGGUGUUUGCAACGCCAGCAUGGGUUCGAUUCCCACGGGGGGC
rfam:Salmo salar isolate Sally breed double haploid chromosome ssa26, whole genome shotgun sequence.